rnacentral:rRNA from 1 species
UUGGAGGGCAAGUCUGGUGCCAGCAGCCGCGGUAAUUCCAGCUCCAAUAGCGUAUAUUAAAGUUGUUGCAGUUAAAAAGCUCGUAGUUGAAUUUCGGGAUCGACGGGUCGGUCGCGCCUCUGGUGUGUACUGGCCCUGUCGGUUUCUCCCUUCUGACGAACCACGAUGUCAUUAAUUUGGUGUCGUGGGGAAUCAGGACUGUUACUUUGAAAAAAUUAGAGUGUUUAAAGCAAGCAUUCGCUUGAAUACAUUAGCAUGGAAUAAUGAAAUAGGACGUUUGAUCUUAUUUUGUUGGUUUCUAAGAUCGACGUAAUGAUUAAUAGGGAUAGUUGGGGGCAUUAGUAUUCAAUUGUCAGAGGUGAAAUUCUUGGAUUUAUUGAAGACUAACUACUGCGGAAGCAUUUGCCAAGGAUGUUUUCAUUAAUCAAGAACGAAAGUUAGGGGAUCGAAGACGAUCAGAUACCGUCGUAGUCUUAACCAUAAACUAUGCCGACUAGGGAUCGGAUGAUGUUAAUUUUUUAAUGACUCAUUCGGCGCCUUACGGGAAAC